rnacentral:rRNA from 1 species
CGGUUGAUCCUGCCGGAGGCCACCGCUAUUGGAGUUCGAUUAAGCCAUGUGAGUCGAGAGGGUUCGGCCCUCGGCAGACUGCUCAGUAACACGUGGAUAAUUUGCCCUUGGGAGGAGGAUAAGCUCGGGAAACUGAGUAUAAUACUCCAUAGGUAUAGGUUGCUGGAAUGCUCUUAUACUUAAAGCUCUGGCGCCCAAGGAUAAGUCUGCGGCCUAUCAGGUUGUAGUGAGUGUAAUGGACUCACUAGCCGACGACGGGUACGGGUCGUGAGAGCGAUAGCCCGGAGAUGGAAUCUGAGACACGAUUCCAGGCCCUACGGGGCGCAGCAGGCGCGAAAACUUCACAAUGCGGGGAACCGCGAUGAGGGAACUCCAAGUGCCUAUACUUUGUAUAGGCUGUUCAGGUGCCUAAAAAGCAUCUGGAGUAAGGGCUGGGUAAGUCUGGUGCCAGCCGCCGCGGUAAUACCAGCAGCUCAAGUGGUGGUCGUUUUUAUUGGGCCUAAAGCGUCCGUAGCCGGUCAGAUAAAUCUUUGGGUAAAUCGACGGGCUUAACUCGUCGACUUCCGAAGAGACUGUCUGACUUGNGACUGGGAGAGGUCGGAGGUACUCUAGGGGUAGGGGUGAAAUCCUGUAAUCCUUAGAGGACCACCAGUGGCGAAGGCGUCCGACUAGAACGGGUCCGACGGUGAGGGACGAAGCCCUGGGUCGCGAACCGGAUUAGAUACCCGGGUAGUCCAGGGUGUGAACGCUGCAGGCUUGGNGUUGGGGGUCCUACNAGGGCGUCCAGUGCCGUANAAGAAGUUGNUAAGCCUGCCGCCUGGGGAGUACGAUCGCAAGAUUGAAACUUAAAGGAAUNGCGGG